rnacentral:rRNA from 1 species
CCUACGGGUGGCAGCAGUGGGGAAUAUUGCGCAAUGGGCGAAAGCCUGACGCAGCGACGCCGCGUGAGGGAUGAAGGUCUUCGGAUCGUAAACCUCUGUCAGCAGGGAAGAACGGACACUGUGCAAAUCAGCAGUGAAUUGACGGUACCUGCAAAGGAAGCACCGGCUAACUCCGUGCCAGCAGCCGCGGUAAUACGGAGGGUGCGAGCGUUAAUCGGAAUUACUGGGCGUAAAGCGCUCGUAGGCGGUAUGUUAAGUCAAGGGGGAAAUCCCCGGGCUUAACCUGGGAACUGCCUUUGAAACUGGCAAACUUGAGGGUGUGAGAGGAUAGUGGAAUUCCAGGUGGAGGGGUGAAAUGCGUAGAGAUCUGGAGGAACAACAGUGGCGAAGGCGGCUAUCUGGCACAAAACUGACGCUGAGGAGCGAAAGCGUGGGGAGCAAACAGGAUUAGAUACCCGAGUAGUC